GGACGAAGCAGGGGAAUUGAUGGGAGCUUCUACUGUGUUUCUUGUGGGAAAUUAAAUGAUUUGCUUGGGUGCUGCAGAAAACAACUAGUUCAUGCAAAAGAUACAAGAAGGGUCGACAUACUGUGUUAUCGUGUUUCUUUGAGUCAAAAGCUUCUCCAUAGAACUGAGAAGUAUAAAGUGCUUUAUCAGAUUGUUGAUGAGUCUGUGAGGAAGCUUGAAGCUGAAGUGGGACCAAUAGCUGGUGUACCGGUAAAGAUGGGUAGAGGUAUUGUAAACAGGCUUUCGUCUGGACCCGAAGUUCAAAAACUCUGUGCUUCUGCUAUUGAGUUACUGGACUCAAUGAUCUCCAGCAAUUCCUUGCACCUUUCGCCUAAUCCUGACAUUCAAGAUGCAAAUUUUGUUCCUGCAAACAUGGUUAGAUUUGA
rnacentral:misc_RNA from 1 species